rnacentral:rRNA from 1 species
GACGAACGCUGGCGGCGUGCUUAACACAUGCAAGUCGAACGGAAAGGCCCUUCUCUUGUGGUGUGCUCGAGUGGCAAACGGGUGUGUAACACGUGAGUAACCUGCCCUUGACUUUGGGAUAUCUUGAGGAAACUGGGGCUAAUACCGGAUAGGCGCUCCUGCUGCAUGGUGGGUGUUGGAAAGUUUCGGCGGUUGGGUAUGGUCUCGCGGGUUAUCAGCUUGUUGGUGGGGUUGAGGUUUACCAAGGUUUUGACGGGUCGCCGGCCUGAGAGGGGGACCGGCCACAUGGGGACUGAGAAACGGCCCAGACUCCUACGGGAGGAAGCAGUGGGGAAUAUUGCACAAUGGGCGGAAGCCUGAGGCAGCAAGGCCGCGUGCGGGAUAACGGCCUUCGGGUUGUAAACCGCUUUCGCCUGUGACGAAGCGUGAGUGACGGUAAUGGGUAAAGAAGCACCGGCUAACUACGUG